AACACGCUCCUUAGAUCCACCUCUGGAGGGCGCUGCGCUCUGAGCGGAGCCCCUCGGCAGCUUUCUGGCUGUACGGUUGGAGGUGCAUGAGUCAUUGGCGUGUGAGAGCAGUCUACCUGUCCCUCCAGCCCACGCAGCACUAGCAACCCUGUCCUCCAGACGGGGAGCUCCUGGUGCUGCAAGCCUGGGGGACGGACACU